rnacentral:rRNA from 1 species
CCUGGCUCAGGAUGAACGCUAGCGGCAGGCCUAAUACAUGCAAGUCGGACGGGAUUCAGCAGCUUGCUGUUGAUGAGAGUGGCGCACGGGUGCGUAACGCGUGAGCAACCUGCCCAUUUCAGGGGGAUAGCCCGGAGAAAUCCGGAUUAAGACCGCAUAUGAUCACGGACCCGCAUGGUUGAGUGAUGAAAUAUUUAUAGGAAAUGGAUGGGCUCGCGUGACAUUAGCUAGUUGGUAGGGUAACGGCCUACCAAGGCGACGAUGUCUAGGGGCUCUGAGAGGAGAAUCCCCCACACUGGUACUGAGACACGGACCAGACUCCUACGGGAGGCAGCAGUAAGGAAUAUUGGUCAAUGGAGGGAACUCUGAACCAGCCAUGCCGCGUGCAGGAAGACGGCCCUACGGGUUGUAAACUGCUUUUGCACGGGAAUAACCCUUUCUAUGUAUAGAGAGCUGAAUGACCGGAGAAUAA